GUGUCAUGGUCAUUGUUGACCGUUCAUAUAUCCCCUACAAUUGCUUUGCAGCUUAUGCGGGGGUUAUAUAACAGUCAACUAAGACCAUUGACAU
rfam:Medicago truncatula strain A17 chromosome 3, whole genome shotgun sequence.